ACAGAAAAGGAGGGCUUUCAAGAGAAUUUUAAAGAAAGGUAGCAAACUGUUUUGUAGUUAUUUAUAGAUAGUGGCUCCUGAGCAUCUGGGAUAGGAAAGCAAGAAAUGAAUGAAUUUAAAAAUUCAGUCUGAGAACCAUUCAAAUGGCCGAGGGGAGACUGUUAUGCGUUGGAGUCUUGUAAGAGACUUACUCUUUGUGCAGAGUAAGAGUGGAGGAUAAUCCAUGAAGGACCUUCUUCUAAAAAGUGAAAUAAAUGACCUUAAAAAAAGAAGCAUUCUGGAAGAAAGGCAAUGAAGGUCAAAAGGAGCAGAUGAAAGGGAAAUCAAGAGACCUCAGACCACAGAGGUACUGAAAAGCGUCAAGUCAUUUAAUGUUUCCCUUCACAUUUGCUUCCACCUUGUUCAGGGUAAAAUGGAACUUGAACUUCAGAAAGGAUUGCAGUGAUUUCUCAUCUCUCCCCACUGGAGUGGAUCAUACCUGUAAGAAUACGAAGAGCUGUUAUUAACAGGUAUGAGCACAUCCAAAUAACAGCAGCUUGUGAUUGUUCUAAUAGGACAGUAUUAAUCGAGUACUUUCUGUAAGUAUUGUAAGUGACCUGAGAUGGACCAAAUACUUAGGAAAUUGGCCGAGGCAGGUUUUAUUGUCGCUAAAUCUGUCUUAGUUGAUAGCUGUAACAGACAUGAAGGUCUUUCUAAACAGGCCCAGAAACCACAACAUGUCCUAUGCAGGGGAAAGUAACUUUGAGAACUAAGAUUAUCAACUGUGAAGAGGACUACAAUCUUGCACAGAAAAGUACGGGUGAGAACAGUUAUGCAAUAAUAGAAACAUAAGAUUUUUCACCCACAUAUCACAGAAAUAAGUCAGUUAUGUCGCACCAUUGUCUACCUACAGGUAGAUAAAGUCUUUCAUGUUUGGAUUCUCCUAAAUGAAUUUAGAGCUUCAGUCUUUGAUUUAAAGUGCUAUAGUUUAUUUUAACAAAAAAAUUUAAACUGUUCCUACUGCAGAGUGACGCCAAAGCUACCAGGCACCUCUAGUCUAAAGCUUUUAUAAUAGACUAUGAAACUAAGUUAGCUUGAGUCAGCUUAUUCUGUGGAAGCACAAAUGUGUUCUCCUGGCAGUUGAUUAGCAAAGUCCAGAUUCAAUGGGAUUGAAGACAGUGAUUAUGGAAGAAGGGUACGUAGAACACAUGUACCCAGCAGAGGAUGAACUGAUGCAAACAGAAUUUAAAAAAAACCUGAUAUGUUCACUAUCCACUGUUCCUCUCAUGGAAACACAGGCAUGGAAGGUAGUGAAUAUUACCAUUCUUCAGAUGAAGAAUGAAUAGAAUUGUCCUUCAUGGCUGUUUUGACAAUGUGAAAUCAAGAGAAAGAGUUGUAUCCUUCCCCAUGGAUGUACACCAGAUUACUGUGGAAAAGAAGGUGAAGUGCUAUCAAGUGCAAGGUACGCAGCUUCACUAUGAGGUAGGAUUCAGAUGUGUGUGACUCACACUUUGUGAAUGAGACAUACUGGCUGAGAGUAAAGAAGUAAAUAGUGUUUCAGUCCAGUGCUGAAACAAGCUAAGUCUUCACAAGAGUACAUGAUUAAGAAUCUGAUGGGAAUCGGGCAACAGAAAUAAGAAACUCAUUUUCAUUCAGUUGCAAAUGAUAACUAUAUCCUCAAGAUGUAGCCCAGCUGGUGUUAUAAUCCUUAGUUCAGUCUGUUUUAGGAAAGAAGAGGAAGAAAAAAUCCCCACCUCUCUAAAGUCUGUUGAAACUUCAGAAAUACCUGAGUACAUUGCCCUAAGUUGUUGUUGGGUGUGCAAUUUCUAAUGAAAACUUAAUUUCAUGUCUUAUUAAGAACUACAGGUGUUGUUUCUUCCAAACGUACAAGAAAUAUUUUCAGAACUGUCAAUAUCAUGCUUGAUUACUAGACAGAAAAAAGACAUACUAUGAGCUAAUGUCCUUAGCCUCUUUGUACCUAGUUUGAAGCACUUUACCUAGAGAUGAAAGUGCCACUUAUGUAUGAAUCUAAGAGUCUUUUGGAAAGCAGUGAACUCAAACUUACAUCAAGAUGAUCUUCCCUAUACUUCAGUCCUCAUGCUAAUAAAAAUAAUUACAUUUUUUGGCAACUUUUUUGUGUUUUUCUUUCUGUUACUGUUGUUGGAUGGAGAGGAAGGGAGGAGAUGACAAUGUUAGUAGACCUAUGACCUGUGGGAGUGGAAAGAAUUUCAGUAUUUUCUUGAUAUAUACUUUUUUUUUUUUUUUUUAGAAAAGAUUUACUCUACAAAUUGCAUGGAUUUUUACUGGAGACCCAAUUCCUACAAUUUUCUUUUUAUUUGUGCUUGAAGAACAUGCCCUUUAGUGUGAUUAAGGAAUAAUUGGAUUCAUUUUGAAUUGUGGUAAAUGGCAUGGCAUUCUUUUCAUGGAGUUUCUGGUUCUGCAAUUACAUUUCUGCAGCAGUAUCUAGCAGUCACGAAAGAUUAGCUGUGUUUUCUUCUUCUGCCAUGCAGUUUUCUAAUCUGUCUGGAACACAAAUAGAUCAAGAAUUGCAGCUUUGUAGAUUGUAUCAAAUGCUUCUGUAUGUCGCUUUGUGACUGUUGGGUCAUUCUUGGAUACACAAGGUUGACAUAUAUCUAUGUGAGAAUUAUUUCCAGAAAAUAUGUAUGGUGCACUGUCAAAAAGGUGUUCUUUUUCUUCCUUUUAAGUUCAAAUUUCAUAAUUAGAACAAGAUGAACAAUAGCAUCCUCUCACAGAAGAAUAAAGAUGUGCUCAACUCCCUUUCUACUGCCUUUGAAAGAUGAAUAAAUGGGUAUUUUCUGCAGCCUUCCUUAAUCUUCUGUUCCUCUUCACACCUUGCUCCAUUUUCAAGCAUUUCAAUAGGGAUGCAUGAACUCCUUAGAUAAGAGCCAACUCCAGAAAGAACUUCAAAAGAAACAGAUGAGACCAGGCAGCACGCAGAAUUCCUCUGGGACACAAAAUGCAGGUAUAUACGCUACAAGGAGUUGGUGAUGACAGUUGUUUCGUUAUAAUUUUACUCCUCGUGCAUAUCCAUCUUCCUUCUUUUCUCCUGUUUCUUUUUUUCAUCUUCUCACUCUACCUUACCCUCCUUCCCCUUCCUACCAUUUUUUUGUCUCCUUCUUUUCCUUCUCUCCAGGAGUGUGUGAGGUACUUUAAGAUGAUCCUGCAUCUGUGACAGAAGAUAUUUCCUUUCUGUUUCACAUCUUUACUUUUUCAGAGGAAUACAGACUUGCACAUCACUUAUAUACUGUUUUUUCCAUUCUGGGGCACGGGGGAUUUAGACAAGUGACUCUCAUGGCUGUUAAUGGGAUUUGUUCAGCUAAAGUCUUGUGUAAGCCAAGCCUUUUCAAAAGAGUGAAUUUCUUUAGAAGUACAGAUAGACCUGGUUAAAGAUUCUUUUGAUGAUAUAUGAGGCAAGAUCUUAGAGCAUAUCUAACAAUUAAAGAAUGUGGACAACUUUUCACAAGUUAAAAGUGUUAAUCUCACUAUUAUGGCCAUAUUUCCAUUUGGUUAAUUACUUCCUGCUGUGUAAAAUUCUUCCUAUAAUUUUACUUAAAGGUAUUUUUUAUGCCUGUCUAGAAUGACUGCACAAUGUUAUUGCAUGAUUUUUAAAGCAGAGCUCCUCAAUUAUCAGAAAAAAUAUUUGCCAAGUAAAUGUUUCUAUGAAAAUUGUCAUUAUCCAUCAAGUGAUUUAUUCCAUGAGCAGUAUUUGCAGAGCUAUACAGCUGGUUGAUUACUACUACUACAAAAAAUUACUCUAAUAAAUGAGUUGAGAAGAAAGGUAAAAAUUAAUUAAGAUAAUGUAUAAGUUGGAUAAUAUUUGUCCAGCUGUUGUUUGAAGGCUAUCACCUUUCAUUUUGGUGGGCUUACAUACUGACAAAGCAAUCUCUGUAUAAAUACUUCUAAGUUUAUCUUGUGAUCUGUCAUCCUUACUUGAAAAAUGUUGCAUGAAUGAUCAUUAUUAUUAUUGUAAAUUGAACCCUAUUUUCAUUUGGAGUAAAAUACAAUGGCAUUCGAACAAGAAAUGCAAGGAGCUGUAAAUGAAGUGAGUGCCAUGUGGUUUGAUGUGUAUACUCUGAGAUAAAGCCUAUGUUGUUCAGACUCUGGGAAUAAAUGCCUGUCCUACUGGGGGCAACUAAGCCCCUAAGUUUCUCUAGAAUUAGUGAUAGUGUAAAUACAAAUCAUUGCAUGGAAGUUAGAAAGUUUACUACAGUGAACAUUGUUUUCAGCCAUUAUAGCCCUUCAGUCUUAUAUUUUUGUGAUAUUUCAUUGCAGUGAGCACAAUAAGAAGACUAAACAAAACUUCCUUUUUUUUUUUUUUUUUUUUUUUUUAACAGGGAAAAAAAACAAAACAAAACAAAAACAAAACCAGAAAACCUCAAACAAACAUUGUGGACAUCACUUUGUUUUCUACACAAUUCUUUUCUGUAUGAGUCCUUUCCAGCCUUCUUUGACAAAGCAAGACACCAGAACUCAGUACCGUCAGUACCUUAGGAAUCUCAUCUACAGAGAAGUUUAUUAAACAUGUGCAAUAUUUUCUGUACUUGUCCUUCAUUUAAGACAUUUGUGGAAUCAUGGAAUAGAUUGGAUUGAAAGGAGCCUUUAAAGAUCAUCUUGUCCAAACCCCCUACUAUGGUCAGGUUUGCCAUCUGUUAGAUCAGGUGGCCCAAAUCUCCGCCCAACCUGACCUUGAACACAUCCAGAGAUUGGGCAUUCACAGCUUCUCUGGGCAGCCUGUGCCAGCACCUCAUCACUUCUGAGUAAAGAAUUCCUUUAAUCUUAUUCUGCCUUCUUUUAGUUUAAAAUCAUUACCCCUUGCUCUAGUACUACAUGUCCCUGUAAAAGUCUCUCUCGGUAUUUUUCAUAAGCUUCCUUUAAGGAUUGAAAGGCUUCCUUCUCUUCUCCAAGAUACAAUCUAAGCUCCCUCAGCCUUUCUUCAUAGGGAAGUGCUCUAGUGCUCUGAUCAUGGUUGUUGUCAUUCUUUGGACUCACUUUAACAGGUCCAUGUCUUUCUUGUGUUGAGUUUGCCAGUACUCCUGGUGCGGUCUCACAAGAGCAGAGUAGAGGGGGGAGAAUCACCUUGCUUGCCCUGCUGGCCAAGUUUCUCUUGAUGCAUCCUGGGAUAUAGUUUUCUAUUUGGGCUGCAAGUAUGCACGGCCAACUAACAUCCAAUUUUUCAUCCAGCAGUGCCCCUAAGUCCUUCUCAACAGGGCUACUCUCCAUCCAUUCAUCCACCAGUCGGCACUGUUUGGUAUUGCCAUGCACCUUGCAACUGGCCUUGUAGAACUUCAUGAGGUUCAUAGGUGCCCACUUUUCAAGACUGUCUAAGUCCCUUUGGAUGACACCCAUUCCAUUUAUAAUGUCAACUGCACCACUCGGUUUGGUGUCAUCUGCAAACUUAGUUCUCCCAUCUUGUUUAUCAGAAGGUGUACACUCUCAUUACUCUGCUUUUCUGCCUAAUAGAAUCCUUUAUUAUCCUUUGCAUCCCUUGUCAAGUUCAGUUCCAUCUGUGCAUUGGCUUUCCUGAUCCCAUCCCUAUACGUUCAGGUGGUAUUCCUGUAUUCCUCCCAGGCCACAUGUCCCUGCUUCCACUGUCUUCACAUUUCCUUCUGAUGCUUCAGUUUAACUAGUAGGUCCUUACUCAACCAUGUUGUUUUCGUGCACGUAGCAAUUCAUAUGACAUCUUUAGCCUGUUACUCAUACUGGGAAGGAUCAGAAGAUUCAUAUGGGCACAUGGAUUUUAAACAGAAGUGACAGUUUGCCUAAUGCAUUUAAAAGUGCAUGGUGAAGUAAUGAGCUUUCUGAAACAUGAUGCCCAUGAGAAUCUUAGGAAACAGUCUAAUUCCUUCAGAGUUUAUGGUAUCUGAACUUCAUUAUGUUGUCUUAAAAUUUAUUUACAUUUCUCCUCUCUUCUGCUCUAUUCUUAUAAAUCCCCAUAUUUUCUUCAAAAUAAGCAAAAAAAAACUUUUCUUGUUUAUUAAUUUAGUCCAUUUACUGCUGUCUAAUGUUAGAGAUUUAUAUUAGGGUAAGCGUCAAUAGAAUAGCAUUGAAAUCAGGGUAUGCAGGUGUUUGACUAGAGAAAGCAUCUCUUCAAUGCCAAAAUGCCUCUAAGUGCUUAGAGUACUUAGUGCUCUUUGGACUGUUCAGGUAUCAUCAGAGAAAAUAUCUGUGUUUCCAGUUUCCUAUGAAUCCAGUUGCUUUUACCUGAGUGUGUGCUUGGAUCAAUGAAUCCUAUCAAAAAAGCUCUGAAAAUGAAUAUGUUGUAAUUUUUAAAAUAUAGUUGAGGAGAAUAUUCAUCUUUAUCCAGUUUGGUAAAUUUAUUGUGUUUACAGGUGCAGAAAUCAGGGCACAGUUAUGGCUAAAAUUAUGCAACUAUCUUUUUUUUUUUUUUUUUUACUGGAAGAAGGGACACUUGAAGAACUAUUUUGUAGUAACAAGGUUCAGUGAUACAGAAGGGUCAAUGCAGGUUUUUCCAUCUCUGAAGACCAAGGAUUUAAGUUAUGAUCUCAGCCAUGAUGCCUGUAUUCAUUCUGCGUGUUUAUGGAGAAUUCUUAUUUUCAACAGGACAGAAAUUCAUUUGCUUCAGUAAUUUUUACUCAAAUACUUGCGGAAUUUUCAGUUAAGUUGAGGCAUAUUCAUGCUUGUUUUUUAUUCACUUUCUGCAAAGGUCUAUAUAACCAAAUGUUACUGCAAUAGCUCAGGAACAGGUGAUUUUUAAGUUCUCAAAUUUGCAUAAUUAUAGAAAACAAAAUUAAAUGUCAUUUCUGUGAAUGUUUCUCACAGGUAAUUGAUUACAAAAUUAAGUCAUAAAUGUACCAUACCAACCAUAACUUCUUUUAUCACAAUUAAAUAACACACUUUUAAAUCCAAACGAGGGAAGAUUUUGCUGCAAGUCUUCAAUCAUUUUUUCAAUUGCAAAUAAGUAGGGAUUGGAAUCUAACUGGACAUUCUUUUAUGUAAAUUUAAGCAUAUGAUUAAUUUUUUUGGAUCAGGUUCAAAGUACUCGGCGCCUUCAGAGCUCAUAGCAUUGCUGCAAAAUCACAAAUACUGCAGACUUACAAGCUGAAAGGGUAAGCAUAUUUAAAUUGUUGAAAAAUGUAGAGGUUCCUUUAUGCACACUGAAAUCAAAUGCUUUACAAACAGCUGAGAGACUGUUACCCAUUCCAAGAUCCUGAGUCUUCUCUUCCUUGGGUCUUCUCCAGGAGAGCUAUGAAACAUUUGGUAAAGCAUUUUUAAGCAUAAAAGAGCAAAGGUGAAUGGAAGGUAAAGAGGAAAGAAAAAAAAGGACUAAAGGAUAAAAGAACAAAAAGAGCAAUUGCACAUAAAAAUUCCAAGUCUUUUUCAUUUUUCAGAAACAUGAUUGAAACAAUUGACAUGAAACAAUGGUGAGGUGAUCAAACUGAGAGAUGCCACAAACAUUAAUGUCUUUCUGUAUUACAGCUUACAAAUAUGCAGAUAAUCAGAAGAGAAACAGCUGAAUUUCAGAGUUGAUAAAUGCCCGAUAGUGCACACUCAAAUGCUCCCAGACAGUGCUUAAUUCACAAUCAUCGCACAGAAAAAAGAGCAGGGAAUCACUGUAGACAGCCCAGUAAAACAUCUGCUAAGUGUGAUUUGAUAGCUGAAAAUGCAGAUAAAACAUUAGAGUAAUACCGAAAAUGUAAAACCAUUGUACACACCAGUGGCAUAUUUUCAGCUGUACUUCAUUUCUUGUCAUCCCAUCUGAGACAGGUAACAGAAGAGGCUCAGAGACACGAAAUAUAGGCAAAGCAAAUUUACAGAAAUAUAACAAAUGAACAGAAAAGACAAAAUUACAACAAUGCUUUAAAGGAACACAAAUCUUUGAAAUUAUACCAUGCAGUGGUACUUUUGGGAUGAAAUGUGUAUUAAAAGAAAACCGAACAGCUAAUCAGCCAGCUGACAAUGGCAGCAGUUGCAAAACUGGAGCGAUUGAAUGUCUAAAUGCUUUGUCAAGUGGGAAUAUGAGGACUGUUAGCAGUCCUCAGAUAUUGAUGAAUCCUCUGCUUCUUCCUUUCAAAACAAAUGAAGUCAACAAAGAAUAAGGGAACUCAACUGCAAAUAUAAUUCACUUGCUGUUUUCCCCCAUGUGCUCUGCAGUGUUUCACAAGAGACAGUUCUCCUAAAAUGCUGUAACAUUCAGCUUGCUGGAGGCCGGGACACAGCCGCAGCAAGACAUGCUCUUUCCCCUUCUGACUGAUGAAAAUCCAAUGAACAUUUCCCAUCAAGCCCCCAGUCUCUUGCCUCCCAUGACAUCAAGAAAACUAGGAACUGAAAUAUUCAACCAUGAUUAUAGAGAACAGCAGAAUUUUGUUUCCCUCCACUUACACUUGGACUUGAUCCCACUCCAACUGAUUGCAGUUAUGUGCUUGCAAAUGACUGAAAUAGGAAUAAAUUCUGUCUGUUGAACAAAACUUUUCCAUCACUGUGAAAUUCUCUAAUGACAGAACUUUACAGAAUUGUAUGGGAGUUCUACUAGCAGAAAAUUUGACUCCAGAUCUGUGAAUUCAUUAGCCUAUUGUUUGUCUCUCUUUUUCUUUCUAAUAGCAAAGGGCUGAAAGAUUUUUAUGUGCUAUUUAGACUAACAUUUGGUAACUCAUUCCCUUUCUGUACAGAAAUUAACUGUAAUGGUUUGUGCUCUUAUCCAGCCGCACAGCUAACGUAUCUGCACUUGCUUAAGCAUCUCCAAGCUCUUAUGAAUGAGACAAUAUCUUCUCAAGCAUUGAAAUGUUAAUUCGUGGGUAAAAACAGAUACUAAUAAGAAGUAGAGCUCAGGUGCGGAAUUUUCCAUAGCCCUUACUCCUGCCUGGAGUUACAAAUUGCUCCAAGGGCCUGACAAAGGAGUACAGCUGGGAAUAUUUAAAAAUUUCCAUCAUGGAAUAUGAAACUUCUGUAUUUGAAAGAUGUCUCCCAAGGAUUCAAGACUAGUGACACGAAAGUUUAUCUCCCAAGACUUAGGCCAUGUAACAAAUAGCUUUUACCUAGCAGCAAUUCAAUCUUUAGUAGGAAUAAUUGUUUAGAGGUGCAAAUCUCUUUGUAAUAUUUGCUCUGGAAUUAUUGUUCUCUCUUACAUCACUCAACUUUAAAACAUUGAAAACCAUGAAAUCCUGCUGGAAGAGAAUAAAAUGACUCAGUUCAAACUGGGACAGAUACAAAAAAGAGGGAGGGCCAGCAUGUGUGCAGUGUUUUAAUUUUUUCUCAUUCUCAUUCUCUUUUUCCUUUUUCUGUCUCUUUUCUUUCUGGGCUUAUAUUUAGCAACUUUAUCAAAGGUAGUCAAAUGGCUCGUGCACUAGUAGAAUGGCUUGUGCACUAGUCAUACUGCACAGUUCACAAACACAAUUGUCUGGUAGAGGAUAUUUUUGCAUACAGCCUGAUUUUCCAUGGUGCAGCUAUAGUAUCUUUGUGUAUCUAGGCUACUGCUUUAUCACUAAUACAUUAAUUCUACCAAAUGUCUGUUAUUUAUUGCACCAUGGAAACUCCAAGUAGAGAAAAUACACCGAGCACAACUUUUUGCAUCUGUUUUCCAAGCUCUUCCCUGAUAGUCUAUGAGUUAGCUGAAAUGACUGAAACUUACAGGUGAAGGAAAUCAAGAUUCUGAACACCUCCUGAGGGCUGGUGGUGAGACAGACAUCCUCUUACUUUCAGUUAAAAUCCAACCUAUCGUACAAGUUUUCUUACAAGCUACUCUUGUAAGAAACUCCAUUUAACAAGAUUCAAGCACACAAUUUCCUUGAAAACUGCUAAACUAGCCUCUGGAUGGUUCUUUUGCACCCUAUUCCUAAAGAACCUAUCCAUGGCAUAGUCAGGGGAAGGAUGACAAAGUCACCAGACAACAGGAUGUGACUAAGGAGCCACUCUUUAGGUUCUAGUUUCUUCUGCCAGUCAGAUAUAUGAGGGUGGGUAUUUCCCAUUUGCUGUAUCCCUCUGUUGUGAAGCUGCAAUCAGGAUAGACAGGGGACCUGCUGCUAGACAGCUGCCUGCCCCCACAGGGAUGCCCUUGUGUAGGUGCAGUGCUGCCAGUGAUAAAGAAAGCAGCUGAUCCCCAUGCCAAGACUCAGUCCUGUAUUUGAAGUGCUACAGGUUGGCAAAGGGAGCUGCUGUGGCUUGUUUUCUGUGAUGAGAAAGUCUGGGAUUUAUUUGGCACACACACGUGGGUACAAAUGCAGGCUCUUCAGUAAGAAGGUGCUUGAGGAAACAGCUGUGAGGGUGUCAGGAACCCUUUGCAGGCAAACUGUAGGGUAGGAAGGUAUUUUCUGUACUUCUGAGGUUGCUUGCUUUCCUUUCUGACUCACACUAAAUCUUACUGUCUUAUAAAUAAUGUUUUCCCUGGAAAUCAUAAAGACACUUCAGAAGAGAAUGCUUUCUCUUCCUUUGAAAUGCAAUAUAUUUCACUGAAGAGGAGGACUUUUCUGAAGACCACCUCUCUUUUUACACUCAAAUUGCACCUGAGUUGAACUGUGCACUAUGCUAGCUACAUAGAUAGUGAAUUUUGCUUUUGGGUAGGAAGCGUGGCUUUCCAGCACGAGUACUCUGUUUAUUUGUCAAGUGGAAUUGCUCCUUCCUCACCUGGGGUUAUGAGAAAACAUUUUUGUUUAAAUGGAGAAACAAAUGAAUAGUUUGCAUAGUCCUUAACUCACAGAACUGCCAUGUAAGGUUUAUCACAAACAUAUAGGAAAAGGGUGUUUGCCAAAUGCCCCUUGUUAUAACAUUGGCAGUACAUCACGAAUUCAGGAAGAUACCAGAUGUCCCAUUUGGUGUGAAAAUACAGUGAGUCUGAGAAAUGUAGUAUGUUUCCAGCAUGAGCUUGUUAGAUACUGAGACAUUUUAUUAUUACUAUUAAUUAUUACUAUUAUAUUUCUGAUAUAUUUCAAUACAUAUUUUUUGUUGUGCUUUAUUUUUUUACUGUAAUAUACCUUUAAAUAAUCAGAAAUAAAUGUAUGGAGAGAACCCUUGAAACUGUAGUUAUCUUCCUUUGCUAGGUAUCUCCCCCUUUAGAAACAACACUCACAGAUUUUCAGACAUCUCUAGAAGGUAGUGAUAUGCGUUGCACUUCUGUUCAAUUUGAAUGGCAGGUCUGAAUUCAGACCCUUGCUUUGAAUGCAAUUAAAUUUUCCACAGGUAUAUGUUCAGAUCCCUCUUGCAUAGGAAAACUCAUAUUUUGGAAAAACUGAUCAUGUAAUAUCCAAGUGGUUGAUGCCCACUGACCAGGGCACUGGGUAUGAACCCAAAGAUGAAAGAAGUACAGGCACACUCUUGGUGAUUUUUUAAUCAGUUAUUGCCUGUUGAGAUAGCUGUAACCGAUGUAAGUUUGAGCAAUCUCAGGGCUGACAGGUUUUUUGGAGAUCAAGGUGGCAUUAUUCUACCACUGACUCUUUGAUCAGGGUCUGAUACUACUGAACUUCAGCCUGACUCAAGGGAAUAUGCAAACGUUUCGCUAUGCAACCUGGGUGGUCAGGAAAACAGAUCUUGCAAAUUGGUGUGUAAGUCUGUAACUGUACUGAGAAUAUAAGGGAGUAAGUGUGAUUUAAAAGAUAAAUUUGGGGACUUCUUUGUGUUUGGGGUGCUAUAAAAAAACAACACAAAAUUGGGAAGCAUUUAGGAGUGUGGUGAUAUGAGCUACAUAAUGCCACAAAUCUGGCUGGGUAACUCUGGACAAAAUCCUUUUCCUAUAAUUAACAAACAAACAAACAAACAACAACAAAAAAAGACAAAACAGAUCAGAAUUUAAAAUACUUAUCAACGUGUCCUGAAAUAAUUUGUUAUAGACUUUAUUUCUACUCUUCUUUUAAUAGAUAGGACUGCAAGAUAGAUAGCUAGGAGCUAGUAUUAGGAUAUUGCCUAGUUAAGCCAUUCUGCCUAUGAAUGUGCUUACUCCAUUAAUGUGGCUUUAGCAAACAGAAAACCAAACACCUUCAGUUUUAAGAGACUUAGUUUUCCUUUGGAGAAGGGAAAGGGGACUGUGGUAAUGACAAAAAUGUGAUUUUUCACCUUUUUUUUUUUUAACACUAAGAUUUUAAAUGAUUUAUGUCCUGCUUUUGAAAGUAAUUCCACAUCAUGCAGAAAAGAUGAGCACUGCACAGAAAGUUAUUUGGAAUUACAGUAGUCAAUUCACACCUCAAAAGGUUGUGGGUUUUUGUUGUUGUUGUUGUUUUUAAAUCUCCUGUGCUUCCAGACCUGUCGUUGAAAAAGUCUCAGAUGCUUUUGUGUGGUGCAAUGGUCACACCCAGUGGCCAGUUGGGUUAAUCACAUAUGUGUAUUCCCUAUGGAUAUGUGAGGUAGUUUGUUCCAGGAAUUGCCUCUUAUAUGCUAUGACAGCUUUGAAUCUAACUAGAGAGCAGGAAGGCAAUAUAUUUCCACCUUUAUCUUAUGGUUCAUUCCCAAAAGUCCCUGACUGAUCAAAAAGAAGGUCCAGACCAUUCAUGAAGUGAAUAGCAAAAAGAAGAUGAAACCCCCAUGGAGUCCGACGUUCUUGAAAUUAGGACCUUUGACUAUAAUGAGAUGGUGUUUUAAAAGAAUGAUUCAAGGACAGAGAGAAACAAAGAAACCUGCACUUUUUCUUAGUUUAAAUUCAGCUUCCUUUUAACUGUAGAUAGCCUGAAACAUUUGAACAUGUGUCUGAUUCUUCUUUUUUGGCAUUAUCAAGAUAAUUUGAAAAAAGAAAGGCCAUUUAUUCCUUAUAAUAAAUGAGAAAUAUACUGAUGUAUGAUGAAUAAAUCAAAAGAGAUGCAUACACAUAGCUCCUAACUAUAGCGUCCUUUAUUAGCAUCACAAUGACACUAAUGUUUUUUCUCCCAAUGUAGACUGUUUUGUCAAGGUCCCUGUUUUCAGUAAGUGUCAGCAAAUGACACAAGAGUGGGAAUACUACAAGCAUGUUCAGUGGAGGUAGCAUUACAGUUGCCGAUUUUGGGAUGGAGGAUGGGAGAGACAAGUUUCAACGGGGAAAGGGAGGGUCUACUCCUCACGUAAACCCUUCCUUUAAUACUCCCAAGGACAUGCUAGUUCCCUACUCUACAUUACAUGUGACUGUGGUCCCCUCUUAAGCCCUGGAGGGCAUAGCAGGGUUCAUUUACCCAUUCAACAAUCAAAUAGCUAAAUCUUUAUUACCAACUUUGCUGGUAUUGCCUCAAAUGUUGUGAAACAUUGCCUCAAAAACAUACAUGAGUAGAUUCUUUUUUUUUUUGUUUUUAGCCUUUUACCAGUUCCCUUACCUUCUUUGGAACAGUCAGUACCUGUCAAUAUCUACACAUUUAUCUUCUGUUACCUAAAGCAUCUGCUACUCAAUUCUGCUUUAUAUAUAUAUAGAUAAAUUUCCCCAGGAACUGAAGAAGUUGCUCUACACUGAUACUCAUAAAAAUCUCUGCUCCAGCUUCAGUGCUGUUGGCUGCUGCUGGGUGCUGGCACCACCAGGAGUAUUGGGCCAGAGCUUUUAUUAGCUUUCUUUCUCCUGAGAAGCCCUUAUACAUUUUCUGGUCAAGAUGCAGACUUUGGGUACUGAACGGCAGACAUCUUGUUUUACUAACUUGUCCCUUACAGACCUUUAACAUACGGCCCAUGAUUUCCCAUGGUUCUCCAGGCCACAUGUUAGACUAAACAGAAAAGUCAUUCAGAACAGUUAAUUUUUAAAGAACCUUGAAUCUCUUUUCCUUGAUGAAACUUUCUUUUGUGCAUAGUUCACUGAAGAAAUCCCAGCAUAUAACAGUAUGAACAUUGAGUUAGUGACUCCACAAAUUCUCAUUUCAACUAAGACAGUCAAUCUGGAGUUAACAUAUGAUGAAAUCUGGGCUGUCUGCAAUGACCUGGGAGGCUUUAUGCUGGGAAUCUCCUUCAGAAGACCAUGCACUAAAAUAUUAUAGUGGUUUCCAUACUGGAUUUUCUUGCACUUCAUCGCCUGGAGAUCUUUGGCACAGAAGUUUGUGCUUAACUUUCUUUCAUUUUUGCUUUGCAGGUCACAUUAAAAUGAAAACUUCCAUACUGGAUCAAAUUUGACAAAAAAGAACAGUUAUACCUUAAGAAAAAAAGUUGGCCUACUUUUUGUCUCAGUUCUCUCAUUGCUUUUUUGAAAAUGUAGGUGAUCUAAAGGGACUCUGUCAGGUCCUCUUUGCCCCUAGAUUCAGAUUACAUUUAAGAGUAAACAAAACACUUAGAAAAAAACCUUCUAUAAUCAGUGAAAGUUUUUGUGAUUUAAUAAAAAGAAGAAAACUUAAGUGGAAAUACUUCAGAUGCUACUCCUUUCCUGUGCUACAAAACAGUGCUGGUGCAUAGGAAAUGUGUACGAAAACCUAAAAGAAACAGGAGGAAACUAUCAAUGCUGCUUUCUCUGACUAAAGUGAGGGGAAUUAAAGAAGUGUUUCUCUACUUCUACAAUAUUGAUGUAAUCCCAUUUAAGGCUCCAGUUGAUAAGUAGGUCUAUACACAUGAAGUGCCAGCUCUCUUAUUUAAUGAUUAAUAAGCAAUGGUGAAAAGUGAAAUGUUUUGUUAAUCUCUUGCUAUUUUCAAUGACAUCAUGUUGGAGUAAAUAAAAAAAAAAAAAAAGGAGUAAAAGGAGUAAAUAGAAGACACACCUGUAUGUGUUGUACUGUUUAAUAGUCUCCUUCACUUUACGUUCCUGAAAUAGAUAAAACAUGUUGUUUUGAAGGUGGCUGGCCCAUUCUUCUUGCAAAUGUGAAAUCACAUUUAGUGGAGAAGUAUCCUAUUACCCGAGGCUCUGCGCUUUGAGAUGAAGACAGAAUGUGGAGUCCAUCUGAGCUUCCCCCACAUUCGCCUAUGACAAAGUCCACUGAGUGAGGGAUGAGUGAAGCCCAACACUUCAUCUGCUGUCAGCAACGCAUGUUUCAUAGAAUCAUAGAAUGGUUUGGGUUGGAAGGGACCUUUAAGGUCAUCUAGUUCUAAUUCCCCUGCUAUAGGCAGGGACACCUCCCACUAGACCAGGUUGCUCAAAGCGCCAUCCAGCCUGGCCUUGAAUUCUUCUUGGCACACGGCAUCCAUAACCUCACUGAGCAACAUGCUCUAGUGUAUCACCACCCUCACAGUAAAGAAUUUCUUCAAUUUCUUCCUAAUAUCUAGUCUAAAUCUACCCUCUUCCAGUUUAUAGCUAUUUCCCCUUGUCCUGACACUACCUGCCCUUGUAAAA